GGCCGGCUGGCGCAAUGGUAGCGCGUCAGACUUCUAAUCUGAAGGCUGCGGGUUCGAGCCCCGCGUUGGUCA